rnacentral:tRNA from 1 species
GGGGGGCCGUCGCCCGGCGGCCGGGGCGCUCGCGCGAGCCGUGCCGACGCGCCGUGCCCCUCCGCGCGGUGGCGGCGAUCGUGUCACCGGGCCCCACG